AAUGAGUUUAUUCCUGAACUUUUCAAUAGAGAUACAUAAAGAGUUUUGUUGUUCUAAUAUGACAACAAACUAAAUUCUAUUUGUUUCCCUAUGUAGCUUUUGGUGACUGUUAAAGAGUUUGGGAUGUACAGGAAAUGGGAAAUGGGAAAUGGGAGAUGAGAUAAAUUCUAGAGGUUCUGAUAUUGAAAUUUUGUUCCAGAGGUUUUGAAGCUUUGGAACUCCACUCGGAUUAAUGAGCAUGCUGAGAAGGGUGAUGCUUUCCUUUCAUCAUUAAUACCUUAAUGAUUUCAUGGAGGAAGAGUUAAGCUACACUCUAUACUGGCAACCCUUUCUGAAUUUGAACAUGCUGAGAAGGGUGAUGCUUUGUACGGCACAUCAGAGCUGCUUUGCUUUCUCUCCUGUGCCCCUCCAUCAUCAGGUCCCAACUCUUGCCCAAACUUGAUGACUUCAUGAGGUGCCACCUCAGUAAUUGGAACAACACACUCAUUGACAUUCAACAAAAAACCAAAGAGAUGGCAUUUUUGUCAUCGCUUAACCAAAUUGCAAGUAUUGAAUGGGAGUCAAUGUCUGGGGAAUUCAUGCCUGAAUUCUUUAAGCUGGUGUUGGGAACCCUUUCUCUGCCUAUCAACUUUCCCGGAACAAAUUACCACCGCGGUUUCCAAGCAAGAAAACAUUGUUAGCAUGCUGAGACGACUCGUAGAGGAAAGAAGAGCUUGCCAAGAAACCAAACAUGACAUGCUUGGUCUCCUAAUGAAUGGGGGUGAAGAAAACAGAUAUAAUCUAACAGAUGACGAGAAAAUUGAUCAAAUGAUAGCAAUUUUGUAUUCUGGAUACGAGACUGUUAUGUAACCAAGUAUUCUUAAAUAUUAAUGGUGUAUUUUCACACCCUACUGUUAUGUAAUAUUUGUGGAUAUGUUAUUUUGUGGGUAAUGGUGAUUGGUGAAUGGGAAAGUGAAUUAAUGAUGCAUUUGCUAUUUGAAUGUAAGUUAUUAU